CGCAUUUACAAAAAAGGGUGGGAUGAAAAGCAUCAAUGGACAGUGGAUGGAGUGAGGAGAUUCAAAAUGGACUGGAGAUUCAAAAUAAUCCACUGGUUUUUGACAAGUGAACAGUCUGGUCAGAUUUUCACAGUACCAAACUAUAAGGCGCUAGGAGAAUGAGAUUACGGAGAAGAAAAGAAUGGGGUCAGAAAUUUCUAGAGGACAGAGAGAAAGGUAAAUGAUCUCAAUUUGGGGAUACUUUAAAAAUUUUAUUUUUAAUUAUACUAAAAUAUGCAGAACACAAAAUUUACAAUCUUAACCAUGCUUAAAUGUACAAUAAAUAGUAUUAUUACAUUCACAUUGUUGUACAACUAAUCACCAGAACUCUUUUCAUCUUGCAAAACAAACUAUAUUCAUUAACAACUCCCCUUCCAGCUCUGCCCUCAGUCUCCAGCGACCACACUUUGACUUUCUGUCUUUAUGAAUUUGACUACUUUAGAUACCUCAUACCAUAUUUAUCUUUUUAUGUCUGGCUGAUUUCACUUAGCCCAAUGGCCUUAGGUUUAUCCAUGUUUCAGAAUUUUAUUCUUUUUUAUAGGUGAAUUAUUAUGGAUAUGCGACAUUUUAUCCAUCAGCGAUUGGGUUGCUUCCAUCUUUUGGCUGUUGCAAAUAAUGUUAUUAUGAACAUAUGUAUGUACAAACAUCUGUUUGAGACUCUGCUUUCAAUUCCUUUGGGUAUAUCCAGAAGAGGAAUUGAUGGUUAUUGUUUAAAGAAGCAUAUCAUAUGGUUUUCCACAGUGGCUACACUAUUUUACAUUCCCAUCAACAGUGCACAAGGAUUUUAAUUUCCUCACAUUGUCACCAACACGUGUUACUUUCUUUUUUCUUUUCUUUUUUUUUUUUUUUAUUAGCCAACCUAAUGGUGUAAGGUGGUAUGAACAUGUGUUUUUACAUCUAUAUUCCUCUCUGUUCCUGCUCAUGCCAACUCCUGUGGUGCUUCUUUAGUUCCUUCCUGACAUUAUCCUCUCUUAGUCUUAUAGACAGAGAAUCCCUUGUAGGCCCAGAGUCUGUAAAAUAAUGACCCUCCAUGGAUUAAACCAACGAUUCUCAACUGAGAGUGAUUUCUCCCCCAAGGUGAUAUGUGGAAAUUUUUGUAGACAUUUUGGUUUUGGGGAGGCAGGAGGGAAGGAGCAGUGCUACUGGCAUCUAGCAGGUAGAGACCAGAAAUGCUCUUAAGCAUCCUUUAAUGCACAGGACAAAAUCCUAGAACAAAAAUUAUCCACCCUUUAAUGUCAAUAGCACUGAGGUUGAGAAUUUCAUGAUCAGAAAAACUGAAAAAGACUGAAGAGUAAGUUUCACAGAUUUAUAAAUAAGGUUUUGAGAAGAAAGGCUUCACCAGAGUUGGUAGAAAGACUCUGGAUAAGGUACUUGUAAAAAAGAAAAAUGGUCAGAAGAGGUAAGAGGAGUGAAUGGAAACCACAGACUAAGGUGUACGAAUUUAUGGAAAGGUUAAGAUGAAUGAAGAAAACAAAUACCUGGAAAGACAGUCAAAAAACGUCUUGUUGAGCCUUGGCUGAGCCAGAGAUUAUUGGGUAAAGCCAGAAAACAUACGGUGCAUGCAUAUAUGUGUGGGAUGGGGCUGAGACUGGUUCAGAAACUACCUUUUAGAGUAAAAUGUUAAGUAAAAGAGUUAACAUACAGGUUUUUCAGGCAAAUAACCAUAUAUUAAUUAACAACAAGAAAGAUACACUCAUGCUUAAAGUUUCUAAUUAAAGUUAAUUCUAAAGACAGCAAUUAAACACAUCAAUUUAAUAUAAUUAGCCAAAUGUAGAACCAAAAUUUUAAAUUCUAAAAAUUAUGAAAUUUCUAAAGAGUCAACCUAAUAAAGUGGUUAUGUUUUCAAGUCAUUUAAAAGUGAGCAUUUUAUUUCAUGUUACCUGAAGACUCUGACUCUGUACAUCAUCUAGAGUUGGAAGAUCAGCCAGGUACUUUUCCAAGGUCUCAAUUCUUCUCUGCUUUUCUUUAUUUUGUUCGGAUUCCUUCUGACAUUUCUUUUUCAGGCUACUGAUAUAUCUAUCUCUGGUUUUAAGCUAAAGAAAAAAGAUUAUGGAUCUUCAGAGGCUUUGUGCCAUUAAAAAAAAUAACAACAGAACCAACAGUUCCAGGUUAUAGUUUAGACUACCACCAACUCAGGUACAUUUAUUCAUACCAGAAACAAUACAGCACUUCUACAAAUGUAUAGCGAUGUUCCAUGUUCCCAUCUAACAGAGCUUGCUGAAAUUUAAAGCCAGCUGACCAGGUUCCAUCUGAUGUGUACUCCACGUAAAGCUGAUUAAUGAUGACCAUAAGCAGAUGCAGGACUUGGAGCUUUCAAAGCUUUACUUCUUUUAUGAGCACUCCUGAUUUUAUAAAUGACGAAGCCCAUCAACCUCAUUCCUACCUCCAAAUCUCUUGCUAAACUUAGGUACAGCAGGACUCUAAGUGGGGAUCUAAGCAUUUUUAUAAGGCUUUGAAGCAUCUCAACACAGGAUCACUGGCUCAGGAUGCCCCAAUCCAUAAGGCCAACUCAGAAAGGUCACUAAGUGUGCAGAACUCAGGUAGUUUCUUGUAAGUGAAACCUCUAUCGUAUGAAAUGUAUGAUUCAGAAAUUCCACUGUUAGGAAUUUACCCAGGAGAAAUGAAAAUAUUCAUAUAAAAAAUGUCAUUUACAGGAAUGUCUACAGCAGCCUUGUUGAUAAUUUCCCCAAAAUGCAAAAAAUUCAAAUAUCCAUUAACAAGAGAGUAGACACACCAUGAUAUAUCUAUAUAAUACAAUGCAACUCAGCAGUAGAUAGGGACAAACUACCAAUAUAUAUACAACAAUAUGAAUAAAUAUCAAAGGUAUUAAGUGAAAGAAAACCAACACAAAAGAAUACAUACAGUAUGACACCAUUUAUAUGAAGACCAAGAAGAUUCAAAACUAAUCUGUAGUGGUAACAGUGUUUCAGAAACAGGAAGGAAACCAGACUAGAAAGAAGCACAAAGGAAUUUCUUGUGACUGAAAUGUUUGCUUAUUAAGUAAACUCUAUGCCCAACAUGGGGUUCAAACCCAUGACCCUGA